rnacentral:rRNA from 1 species
UACGUAGGGUGCGAGCGUUGUCCGGAAUUAUUGGGCGUAAAGGGCUCGUAGGCGGCCAACUAAGUCAGACGUGAAAUCCCUCGGCUUAACCGGGGAACUGCGUCUGAUACUGGAUGGCUUGAGUUUGGGAGAGGGAUGCGGAAUUCCAGGUGAGCGGUGAAAUGCGUAGAGAUGUGGGAGAACACCGAUGGCGAACGGCAGCCCCUGGGUCAAGCACUGACGCUCAUGCACGAAAGCGUGGGGAGCAAACAGG